rnacentral:rRNA from 1 species
UACGAAGGGUGCAAACGUUGCUCGGAAUCAUUGGGCGUAAAGCGCACGUAGGCGGCUUGCCAAGUCGGACGUGAAAUCCCUCAGCUCAACUGAGGACGUGCAUCCGAAACUGGCGAGCUUGAGUACUGAAGAGGAUCGCGGAAUUCCCGGUGUAGAGGUGAAAUUCGUAGAUAUCGGGAGGAACACCGGUGGCGAAGGCGGGUCUCUGGGCCGAUACUGACGCUGAGGAGCGAAAGCGUGGGGAGCGAACAGG